CAUGUUGCUGCAGAAGUUGCAUCUCAAGGCCCAGGAUGGUGUUUUGGGCCUUGGUGUGAGGGCUAUGGGGAGCUCCAGGCCUCAAAGGAACACGCUGCAGAGAGCACAGACUGAGCCCCUGCACCAGGCUAUAAAGGAGAAAAGCUUACACAGGAAGGGUGGGGAUUGCCUCUAGCCAACUUCAGAACUAGUCUGGUGCUGACAACACUUUCAUAGAAGAGAGGUAGGAGAUAAGGGUUUUGGCAGCCUCAGGCUG